UGGGGAAUAUUGCACAAUGGGCGGAAGCCUGAUGCAGCGACGCCGCGUGGGGGAUGAAGGCCUUCGGGUUGUAAACUCCUUUCGACAGGGACGAAGCUUUUGUGACGGUACCUGUAUAAGAAGCACCGGCUAACUACGUGCCAGCAGCCGCGGUAAUACGUAGGGUGCGAGCGUUGUCCGGAAUUACUGGGCGUAAAGAGCUCGUAGGUGGUUUGUCGCGUCGUCUGUGAAAUUCCCGAGCUUAACUCCGGGCGUGCAGGCGAUACGGGCUGACUUGUGUGCUGUAGGGGAGACUGGAAUUCCUUGUGUAGCGGUGAAAUGCGCAGAUAUCAGGAGGAACACCGAUGGCGAAGGCAGGUCUCUGGGCAGUAACUGACGCUGAGGAGCGAAAGAAUGGGUAGCGAACAGG
rnacentral:rRNA from 1 species